AUUGAACGCUAGCGGGAUGCUUUACACAUGCAAGUCGAACGGCAGCGCGGACUUCGGUCUGGCGGCGAGUGGCGAACGGGUGAGUAAUGUAUCGGAACGUGCCCAGUAGCGGGGGAUAACUACGCGAAAGCGUAGCUAAUACCGCAUACGCCCUACGGGGGAAAGCAGGGGAUCGUAAGACCUUGCACUAUUUGCGCUGCCGAUAUCGGAUUAGCUAGUUGGUGAGGUAACGGCUCACCAAGGCGACGAUCCGUAGCUGGUGUGAGAGGACGACCAGCCACACUGGGACUGAGACACGGCCCAGACUCCUACGGGAGGCAGCAGUAGGGAAUUUUGGACAAAGGGGGCAACCCUGAUCCAGCCAUCCCGCGUGUGCGAUGAAGGCCUUCGGGUUGUAAAGCACUUUUGGCAGGAAAGAAACGUCGCGGGCUAAUACCCCGUGGAACUGACGGUACCUGCAGAAUAAGCACCGGCUAACUACGUG
rnacentral:rRNA from 1 species